GAUUGAUUCCUUCUUUUUUGUUGCUUUGUAAGAGUUCAUAUUAUGGAGGAACGACAGAGACUAUGAAUCAAUCAAUAGAUUUAAUUCUUCAAAUUAUUAAGAAACAAAGGAUCUGUUUUGUCAUUUCUACGAAUAUAAUAUUUUAAUUAUGUUUACUGGAUAACUUUCCAAUUUGUAUGUUAGGGAGUAGAUCAAAGUUUCGCUAUAUGGAGUAAGAACUCAGCGGGACCUCGAUGCCAACUUAUAAUUUAUUCAUACCUUAUUUUUGCGGCCGAGCCUGACCUAAAGCCAUCUCGCUUGACGGGCCUUGGGGUGGCCUGGGCCUAUUUCCUCCUAUAUGUACACCCAAUCAAAGAAGAUCUUUACAUGCAACCAUUAUAUAGGUGGUAGAUAAGUUCCUUGUUGCUGUAGGUGCACAAAACAUAAAAGGGAAAGAAAACCUCUUUUCCCAAGGGGAAAGGUAUAGGCUCCUGUUAUGAGUUGUAAAAUGGAAUAGUGUACAUUAGCUCUAACUUAAAGACUCCAUGACACAAGGUUAUGAAAAGUAGAAGAUGACUUCUUGAUGACUGAGAGAAAAAAUUUAGAAUUUGAGUUUGCCAUAAGUAAGCAUACCUAAAGUAUUCUUUAAUUUAACCUAAAUCCUAAAACCCUUAGAUUUACUUAGCUGAGCCUAUAAGUAAAUUAGGACUUUAAGGCACCAAUCCUACUCAAAGUCUAUAAGCAACCACAAAAAAGCUCUUUGAAUAUGUGCGAAGAUUAUAGUAAGAUAAUAAAGUUAAUAACCAGACCUGCUCUCCAAAUAACUUGUGUCCUGAAAUUGGUAUAAACUUCCCCUGGUUGUAUGGUUAAAACCUGGUCUUUCAAUGAUCAAAUAGUCAAUGCAACAAAUCAGGACCACAUUAGAUGGAAAAGUUAUUUAUUUCAUUAUAUUUGUUUUCCUUAUAGGUAUCUUAAUUACAUUCUUGAGGAAAAAGGGAAACUUAGCCAAUCAAGUGCUUUUGUUUCUUUUAUUUGCUCCAUAUAAGGGCACGAUGUUUUUAUAUAUCAGUCAAAAACAUGAAAUUGGCCAAUAUUGCUAUUGACUUUGGUGGAAUUCACUAGCUAGAAAAUGUUGAUAAGAAGCGAGAUUUUUAGUCAAAUUUGUUGCAUAGUCCCCCUUUCUGGUUAGAUCUUGAUGCUUGUCGUAAUUGUUCACUGUCUUCUUCCUGUGAUAUCUACUUCCUUAUUAUCAAUUCACAGCAGACAUAAGCUUCUAGGAUUUUGUCUCCUGUUACAUAUCACAUUAUUCAUCCCAAUAAAAAUAAUUGGUUGAUUGAAACUUGGUCUGUACAUGAAGUAUUUGUAGUAUCUUAUUAAUAUUUUCAGAGGCUUCCAUUUAAUCUAAGAAUGUUGUUGGUCAUUUCUUCAGGUUGUUGAUAUAUCUAGAGUGGAAUAUGAGCCCACUGACAAGGAUAUCCUCUAUGCUGAUGGAAUAACUUCAUCUAAUGGACUAGCAUGCACAGAUUUCUUUUCUUCACAAUUGGCUGCUGAUGGAAGCGGCAAUGAUGAUGCUGAUCAGCAGGACACAUUACUGAUAAGGUUGACACACUGUCUGCACUCGGUGAUUAUAAUAAUGCAUGCAGGAUAGAGUUAAAAUUUAUCAUUUGUUUAUGCGGAGAUUGGUUGAUUACUGUAGUUAGAUUUAUAGUGUGUUGAAAGACGUGCACACUGUGAAAGAAUAUCCUCAACCCCUUACUCAAAGCAUCAAGUACAUUAUUUACAAAUAAAACCAUCAGCUUUUCUUGUCUUGAGCAGCACAAGAGCCACUUGUUGUGCAAAUAGUUCGCGCUUAAGAGGAUUUGAUGGAAUCAUGUCAUUUCAUCAUCUCUAUCAAAAUUUUGACAUCUUAUCACAAAAACUGAGACCAAAAGUUUUCUAAAUGUGCAAUAAGCACACAUUUAACAUUUUUUUCUAUGAGAAGUUUACAAGGGAUUACACCUAUGUAUUCUAACUUUCUCCCCUAGCUGUAUCUAGUUUGAUGAGAAGUUUAAGCCCAUUUCUGAUGGAGAUCCACCAUUAUGUCUUGUUUAAUGACCUAGAUGGAUAGUUUCUUGCGAUUCAAUGGUGCAAAGUUGGCGACUUCAGGAGCUUGAGUUACAACACAUCAUUGAUUGCUCAUUAUUUAAUUUUGACUUUCAGAAUAUGCUAAAGCUUGAACCUUUGAAAUCUCUUUUUUUUUUACAGGUAUCAACUCAUCAGACUGCAUGCAAAAGGCCUUGGAGAGAACUGCAAGUGGCUGGAUAUGUUUGAUGAUGUCAGGCUUGUUAUCUUUUGUGUUGCCCUGAGUGACUAUGAUGAAUACUAUGAAGAUGCAAAUGGAGUGGCUAUAAACAAGAUGUUGGAGAGCAAGAGAUUCUUUGAGAGCGUCGUUGGUCAUCCAAGCUUCUAUCAGAUGGAUUUUCUUUUGAUACUCAACAAAUUUGAUCUGCUGGAGCAGAAGAUAGACAUGACCCCGCUUACCGUAUGCGAAUGGUUUGACGACUUCGAUCCAGUUGUAAGUCGUCAUCAUUACAGCAACAGCCGCAGCAUCAACAAUUGUGCCACCAUGGCGCAGCAUGCCUUUCACUACAUUGCUGUGAAAUUUAAGAAGCUAUUUUGUUCUCUUACUGGGCGAAAACUAUAUGUUACACUAGCAAACGGGUUGGACUCGGAUUCAGUAGAUGUAGCACUCCGAUAUGCAAGAGAGAUCAUUAAGUGGGAGGAUGAGAGGCUGGUGUUCAGCUCCAGUGAAUCAUUUUACAGCACCGAGCCGAGCUCGUAUUCUCCCUAAUGGUUGGAGUGGAAAACUGUGUAAGUAGAUCAGCUUUUUCAUUUUUUUUCCCCAGUAUUCCCUACACUGUACGUCUUUCAUGUGUGUAUACAUUAUUUGUAAUAGUGUAAUUAUUUAGAAAAGCUUCCACCUGCCCCUUGUGACCAUACGGGGAGAGCAUGGAGCGUCUUGACGGUUGUAAUAUGAGUACUUAAGUUGCCCAUCUCAGCAGAGUCCACACUAUGAGCAGCUUAAUGGACAUGGAUGGGUUAGAUGGCUCAUGCGAUUAUGUUGCAAAUGUGUCAAAUGAUCUCUCUUAGUGGGAUAAAAGCCUGUCAAAAAAAUUUUGUCCAGCGACAGCGUCUCCUAAGCUCGAGGCAGGAACGAUGAUGAAACCUCGCUUCCCUCUGGGAAUCAUUCAAACAAAUACUCAAAAUCCGAGCGGGCAUGGUGUCUAAUGUCAUGUGCUAAGCGGUUCUCUUUGGAAAAUCAGGCUUUAUUUUGGCUUGCCAUUGCAUUUGGAUUGCAAAACUAUUUUAGAACACCACGAUCGAGCAAGAUGUGUACUUACCACACAGGUAGCUCGGGUUUGGUCCUUAUUGUACCCAGAUCCAAAUUUAAAUACAAAUCCGAUGAAAUUUUAUAUCCAUAUCCAGUAUUGUAUCCAAGAAAUCAAGUACUAAAUAAGCUAUCGUGCUACAUAUUUUGGAGUAUUUUUAAAAAUUAUUUAAACGUACCAAAUAUGACAUCUCACAAGUUAUGGAACAUGAAAAAAGGAAUGUAAAAAAAUAAAAAGUAUAUUUUAAAUAUAUUCAAGUAUUACUUUUGUUAUUUAAGUAUCAGUACAAUCUAGAAAUAUGAGAAACGAAAAAAGAUUGUACACUACUGAGCUUAGUAUAAAUGCUAAAUCACAAUCUAUAACAAAUAUAUUGUAAAAAAGACUAUAACAAUUGAUAUGAUAGCAAUCUAAUCGAACAAGAUGGAUUACAGUUUUACUGCUCUUUUACUUGUUUUUGAUAGAUACCCAUAGAUAUAUAUGUAUUUAUAUAUACGAGUAUGAAUAUAAUUUGGUCCGUUUUUAGAUUUUUGGACACGGAUCUACCUGAACUAAACCCGGCCAUUUAUGGCUUCAACUUUAAUUUUUUAGAACCCAAACUCAACACAAUAAAAUAUUAGGCUUGUUUUUCAUACGCAUCCUAUAUUUUAGGUCUCUUCCGACUAGGUUAAUAGAUUGUUGGCAGCCAAUGGCAUGAAAGAUGAAUAACUGAGAGAAAUGUAAACCGUAUUCUCAUACUUGGUAAACCAAAAGAAAAGAUAGAAAGAGAAGGGGGAAAAGAGGAAAAAAUUAGUUCAAAAAAGUUAUAAGUAUUACCAUUGCAUUUACUGCAUCCCAUCUGAAAAUCUAAAAGAAGUAUCAUCACAUAAGCACAGGACAUGUGAUACUUAAUAAUUACCAUAUACCAGACUACCAGUAACAGCCAUCUAAUGCACAAUCCACGGUUAUCCGUUUCUUGAUAAUUGAUAUGGAACUAAUCAAUAAAAUGUUCAAGUAUUAGAUCCUCCAAAAUAGGCUGAUAAAACUUAAAAACAAAGCUGGAGAUUAGCUAGCAAAAGUUACUGUAAAUCUAAAAACCAUUUGCAAGCCUGCUCAGAGACAUGAACAAUUUUGUUUUCUUUUUUUCAUGCAGUACAAACAUAAAUGCAAAAUAAAAUUGGUAGUAACAACUGAUCGACAGAGACAUGGAAGAAAACCUUAGAACGUGGUAUAAAUAACAGAGACAUCGUAGAACUCGAGAGGAUCCCUUCUCUCAAGACCAAAUCCUCGGUUUCAUCCGGGCGCAAAACGAUCCAUCAGCAUGCACACGGUGGCGUCCGAGAGGAUCACUUCCCUCCUCUCCUUAGCUUCAGUUCCAUGCUGCUUUGCUAAAACAAGCUCUUCUUGUGGUUCGCCAUGUUCUCGCGCACAUCGACGACCGCCCGAUUCAACAUUACCACUAGACUCGACAUCUCCCUAUUCCUCUCUCUCGCUCUCUCUCCCUCUGAGUUGGCCUGUUUUAAUGCUUUCUUUGUGAAGAAUGCAAUGGAGGCUUCCCACUUGGGUGUAAGCUCGUUUUUGUACAAGCACUGUAUUAGUGGGAUAGAAGGAAACCGUAGGUUCGAGGAACCUGGGGAGUCGACAGUUUGGACCUGGAAGGCAAGGUAGUUGGUUGGCUAGAUUUUGUUUUGAGCGAGAUGGGUGGGUCCGGAUGGAACAGCGUCCUCUCGUUUGCUUCUGUCGUGAGCGACGAGAGACCACGCAACCCGAAGGCCUAGCGGGAGACGGCGGGAUUGCUUAGGAAUAUUCCGAGCCAGGAUUUUAGGCCAAACCCUUACCCGAGAUCUCUAUAUGAAUUCUAAACCAAAUCAACCAAAUCUUAGGGCUUAUGUUGUUUCCUCAUAGGCCCAGUUGCAGGAAUUCCGCAUAUGUGGGCUGUUUGGAUUGCUAGCCCACUUGCUGGGUUGAGCCCAAAGUCCAUGAAGUCUCUGAAAAGCCCAAAGUUCCAAUCUGCCAGGUUGAAUUCCUCAACCAUUCCCUCCUCCUCCCUGUUUUCCUUUUGAUUUUUAUAGAUUUUCUUCUUAGCCUUCUUCAAAGCUUUGCUUUCCAACCCUAACCCUAACCCUAACCUAAAGUGGAUCUCGAUGUCUCUAAUCCCGAUCCACCCCCUUCUUCCCUUCUACAUAUGUUCAGCACCACUUUAAUACUUGCAUUUUAUGCAUUGCCUUCUGUAUCGGAUUUUCAUGUGGUAAGGGUUUGGUAGGAGUGGAGUUCAAAAAUAUGGUAGUUUUGGAAGAUUAUCAAGAAAGCACCUGAUGGUAUCUCACUGUAAUGAUUAGAAUUUAGGUUGAUUUUGGCCUCUUAAAAUAGUUUUUAAAUUUUUAUUUGUCUAAUGUGUUCUAAAGAUUAUCCCCCCCCCCNNNNNNNNNNUUUUUUUGCAUUGCAAAACAUCUUUCAUUUAGCAAGCAAGUAGUGCUUAAACAAAUACAAGCUUGAAAAGAUGAGCUGAAAUGGUCCAACCAUGUGUAAGAUAUGGUAAAUUUGAGUUUAAAAAGUUAUCUAAGUUUGAAAAAGAUCCCAUAGGCUGUUUGGUUGGCACGUCUAUAAAAAAUGAGCUCAUAUCAGAUUUAAAAUCACUGAGUUUUAUAACAACUUUCUUCUAAUUGCUUUCCACUAAAAUUUUGCUAGAAAAUAAACCUGAAAAACAAGUUUUGUGAUAAAAUUGUUGUAUUUCUUCCUUAUUAUAAUUAACUUGACAAGGUGAGUAUCGUAGAGCUCUUAUACUACUUUGAACUAGUAGACAAGCAACUUGUUUGACACACAAAUUCUGCUCCAAACAUACCUAUGAAACCUUGUCCCCAUUACUAGCUAGCUUUCUAAGUCCUUAUUUGCUAAAUAAUUUCCAUGAAGGUUUACCAACAGUACUAUUGCAAGCUUUUUCAACUGAAGUGGAAUGAAUGCAGACAACUUAUAUCAUCUACUUAUGCCAUAUACCGUAAUCAUGUUUUAAACAUAAGUGAUACAUUUAUUUAUGAUUAAUGUAAGGAUAUGGACAUAUGCAAUCUUGAUGGCUCAUAACCAAGUAGGCAACCAUUGCAGAUUUAUAAGAAGCUUUAUAUAUCUGCAUAUCGAUAGAAAGCCACAAGAAAAGCAACUGUGCAAACUCUAGAUAUGGCACUUGUUAAGAAAGAAAUUUGUAGCCACAAGGUUUGUUUUUCAUUAGCUAUGAUAAUAUGCUUAUAUACGCUAUAAAAGGGAUCGGUAUCUCUACAUCAAAGUGAUCAAUAUCUUUACAUCAAAGAAAUUAUAUGGUCCGUAUAAAGAAAAUCUCUACAAAUAUGUACAUAGUUGGCAAAAUCGAGGAAUGAUUUCCAUCACUUGAGAUUAUAUAGCUCGUCGUAUCUGCCAAAUCCAAUUGCAUGGUUGGCUGAGAAAAUCAAGAAAUGAUUUUCAUCCGUGGGAUUGUAUAGCUGCCCAUAUUUGUCUAAUCUAAUGCCAAGAGAAGUAAUUAUGAUUACCAUCAAAUCAAGUAAUGAUUUCCAUCAACACUUUUGAGCCACUUUUGAAAGGCAUUAUAGUUUGGCUAGUGCAAAUUGGAACGGUCUCACUUACGUGCGAACUUAUAGUUUGGUUUAUAUGUUUGGCAUGGUCUAGAUAAUGUGAUUCUGCAUGGUUUGUCUUGGUUUGGAUUUUGAAAAUAAUAUGGCCUAUGCGGUUUGGUUUUGCUUGAUACCUAUGAUUUUUCUGAGGAUAUUGCCUGUACGAGACUGAAUGGUACGAUCCUACUUUAAAAUAGUGAUGCACUUAUCUGCAAGAUCUUAUAUGAUUAGUAUCUUUUCGUUGGAUGUUUUCAAACAGGUUUAGGAAAGCAGAUAUUGAUACAGGUACAGGCAAACUGUGGGUACCAUAACAAUGGACAGCCACAAGGGUUAGCACAUUAUGAGGGGAUCCAGGUUGAUUACUAAAUAAUGGGCAUUUAUCUCUAUAAUCUUCUUCCAGGUUGAUACUUAAUUUCUGUAUAAUCUUAUUAUAAUAUCAUGUUGCCUUUUUUUUUCCUGUAGCUUUGCAGUUCAGCAUGCUGGAUUUUAUAUCUGUAUGAUUGUCUGUGCGUGCUGUUUCUUAGGCUUCUGAUAGAGCAAGUGAUUAUUCAGUAUGUGAGAUUUUUAUUUCUUUUCUAAACAGGAAUUUGGCUAUCAAAUUUUUUUUUUUUAAGCUUUGAGAAUGAGGGGAUCCAACAAGCUUACCUUAUUAUUAGAGAAAGAGGAAAGAAUAGAAGAUAAUCUGUAAGACAACUCUAAUUUUUAACUGUAAAGCUAUAUAUUCUGCAAAAAUAUUUGAUUGUCCAUAAAAUUAUUCAAUUCUUGUGGUAGCAAUUUUAUAUUUUUUAAUAUGUAUAUAUAUGUUAAAGAAUAUAUAUAUAUUAUAUAUAUUAAUGAUAAUUUACAAUUAUAAACUUUGAUUAUAAAAAAUCUAAUUAUUUCUUAAGAAAUGGCCUUAUUUUUUCUUCUUAUUUAUCAUGUAUGAUUCGAUCAUUACAUACAGUAGCCAAGUCUGAAAUUAGUAUGUCUUUUUAUCUUUAAACUUUUGAUGCAGGAUCGAUGCUCAACUUGUGUCUGUCUUAACCUCAAAACAUAUAAAAUAUGGUUAAUUUUAUUGUGAAACAAGGUAUUAUUACAAAAAUUGAUAAAUAUAACCAACUAUCAUUAAGAAUUUCAUCUUUGCUCUAGUUUUUGUUGUUUUUGAUAUUGAGACAGUCCUUCCUUAUCGAUAGGCAAUGAGUUUUGGAUUUGAAUUGAUGUCGUUUCAUUGAUUCUUUCUAAAAAUUUUAUUUUAAUUAGAAUUUAGUUAUUCAUAAUGCAUGAUGAUCCCUUUUUAAGACUAAAUGGUUAAAACGCCCAACUCAUAAUUGGCACUUAAUGACUACCCUAUAAACUAAAAAAAAGAAAGGUCACACAAAUUGAUGUGAGAUGCCACAUUUCGAAGACUUUCUCUCUUCAACUGUUCCAGAGGAACGGUCUCGACAUUCGUUUCUGGGAGGAUGGUUAGAUUGAUUCUAUCAUCUCUCCAUUCUCUUUUUGCAAGCUUAUACGACAGGGCAAUGAAACAUAAUACCUCUGGGAGGAUGGUUUGAUUGAUUCAUAUCGGAUGGAGGCUCUGCAUGAGAUUGUUGCUCUGGUAAGAUUCUCACUGCUCGCCAAUGUUCCACUAUGGAAGUUAAUUCCCAAUGGCAUUUAUUCCGUUGAAUCUUAUUAUUCAUUCUUGAACAAUGGAGGCCUCGUUUUUUGUGGCUUGCAUUAAAAAACAAACUUCACACUGGGGAAGUUUUAGCCAAGAAACGUUGGAAUAUUUUUUUAGUACACCGGCUCCUCACACAGAACGCAUAUGAGUGCAGCCAAAACAAUUAAUGCCAGGGGUGCUGCUUAUGUGGUAAUAGCUCUGAAUCAGUUAAUCACUUGUUCAUAAGGUGCCCAUUUACAAAAAGCAUCUGGUCCACUAUCAAAAUGCAAUUGAAAUUGAGGGACUGGCCGGCAACUCUUCAUGAUCUAUGAACCCAAUGAAGAGCCAAAAAAUCGUCAACUAUUGAUCAGAAGAGCAGAUGAUCAGCUUCUUGCAGUCAUUUGUUAGAAAAUUCGGCAAGAACGAAAUGCGAGGAUCUUUCUCAGAAUGAAUCAUUCCAUUCAUGCAACACUUCAAAAGGCACUAAACACAUAGCAUAAUUGGGAGUGUCUCUUGCAUCCAAAAAAAUAAAGGAGAAGCAUCAGCAACUUUGGAGGAGUCUUGGCAACCAUCUAUGCAACUGAUUUCUUAUUCUCUCUCUCUUCUCCCCUGUAAAUUCUGCUCCUCCUUCAGUUUGUAAAUAUCUUUUCUGAUCUAAUAACAUCUGGGGGAAGCUGCCGGCUACCUCCAUUCACAUCACGACAACAACAAAGUAAAAAAACCACUACUGUUCCUGAGUGCAAGAGCUAUUGCUCAGCCAUAUAUCACCAGAGACAUGUAACGGAUUUUAGCUAUCUCAUCAUGAUUUCUCGUUCUUUAGGAUAAGAAAGUUGCUGAUUCAUGCAUCAAUAAUUCUCUGGAAAGAUGCAAAAAGCUAUUGUUUCGGACAAUCCUACACCACCAGUCUUCUGGUGUAAGUGCUUGUCCCAUCAAGUUGGACGGUAAGAUGUAAAGGAAAUCUAUGUGAGCCCGGAAAGUAGAUGCUUGCGUCCAAAUAUAUUGUUCCAUGCGAGAAAAAAAGAGUUAAGUGUACUGGUUUGUGUCCUUUUUUCGCCUGUCCUCGCCAAUUUGUUUUGAGUUGUUGUUGUAUCUACGACCGUGAACAAAGAUGGCUGUAAUGGUGGGAUGCUAUGAUCGACCUGGGAAAACAUGGCCAAGCCACUGAAAGACUUUAGCUAAAAGCUUGGAAGGACAAGGGAUCUAUAGGCUGCAUGGUGACGCGAGACCGGGGAGCGUAGUGUGUUGGUGUAUAUGAGCCCGUCAAUUGAUCAUUUACCAUUCUUAUAUAACCACCGUCAAUUGAUUAUUUACUAUUUUUGUAUGACCACCGUCAAUUAUAAAUAGGUGAGCUCUCUUAUACUUAUUGGAAUACACAGAAAUAUUCUCAAAAUUCUUCUCUCCUUUCUCUACUACGUUUUUAACAUGGUGGACUCCCAUCCACUCAGUUGAGACAAGAUCGACGUGACCCUUCACAAGGAGAAAUUAUAUCCUACACAGUGCACUCAGUUGCCGAUUACAGCUGCUCUUUUCUAUAAACUCCAUUCAUCAAGCGCUUAUCUAGAUAUGCUACUAUAAAAAUAAACAGCUAUAAUUGGAGGCAUGCACGGCCGCAUAGUGCAUGCCCUAUAGGAUAUAAUUUUUCUUUAAAAAGUGACGAAAAUUGCCAACUUUUAGUUGGAGAAAUUAUACCCUAAACCAGCAUAUAUGCACCAUACGGCCAAGCGUAAUGCUAAUUCCCUCAUCUUAUUUUUAUGGACCCCAUUCAUCAUCGACUCAUCAUGAUGAUUGGCCCACAGGAACGAGAUAGGGUUAUUAGCAUGGUGCAUGGCUACAUUGGUGCACACGGUGCAAGAUAUAAUCUUUCGAUUGGUUUUGCACAAAAUAUGUGUAGAUAUGAAGCAAUACGUAUGAGUUGAAAUUCUAAUUUUAUCUCCAGAUGUGUUGACCAACGUAACUAUAAUUUUUUGCCAUUAUUUCAAUGAAACAUAUGCGUGUUUUACUAUAUUUUCAAUUGUUGAGAGUGAAGAAUUCUUGCAGAAACUAUUCAAGCGUUCAAAUUUCCAUCACCAUAAUCAUCUUUGACAUGAAAAAUAAUUGAUGUAAAGAGCAACAUGUAAGCGGAGCAAAUUUUGUGAUGGAUGUGCUGAACACUCCAAUUAAUUGUGUUUUCCCUGUGCGACAGCGAUAUGCCAAGCACCUCAUGAGUUCAAGAUUGCAUAUUAAUUUGGAGGUAAAUCUUUGAACAGAUGCAAAAUAAAAUAUUUACUUAAGUGGAAAUGAAUUGAGUAUGAUGAUAAAAAAUCUUGCUUGCACCCGUGUCAUGAAGUAGGGCACGAAGGGUAUUUACAUUGCUAUGUGAAAGGGUGUAACAUCCAUUAUAGGUGUCAACAUUAUUAAUUACUUCUCCACGCAUCAAAAUUCCAAAAGGAUAUAUAUAUAGACGGUCCAAAGGCCUUCAAAAAAGUCCUCUAAUAUAUAGUACUCUAAUAUCACUCUCUUCAAUUAAGGAUCCUUCAUCUAUAUUGAUGUAGAGAAAUAAUGGCCAUAAUGUAUAUGCCAUGAAGAUGGCAUCACAUAGUAGGGAAUAAGGGAUGGUGAAUUCAAGAGGCUUUUCCUUUUCAGAUGCUGCAUUAAUAGCUCAAUUCCCUGUUAUUUUUAUCAUAUACAUUGUUAUAUGAGGUUAAUGAUUUAUCAUUUUCGUAUUUCUAAAUUUUUAAAUUUUUAUUUUUUUCAAUAUAUAUAGGUUUCCAAUUAAUACUUCUAGUAGUACUAGUAUAACAACUCAGGAUCUCAUCCAAAAAAACUUGUCGAAAGAUAUUAUUUGGGUUACUUAAUCAUAUAUAAGCACCUAAUAUCUACUCAGCGAAUAAUCGAUGUGGGAUUAAACACACGUCUGUAGUCCUCGUCAGGCUAAGAGUUCAAAUCCAUUUAAAUCUAAUCGCAAGUAUCACAAUAGACUCAUGGUCAGCCUCAAUAAAUUUGUAUUGCAGUGUUUCCUAGUCCACAUAGGUUAUGGGUCGGAUCUGCUCUGAUACCAUUUGUAACAGUCCACAAUCUCACCCAAAAAGACUAGCCGGAAGGUAUUAUUUGAAUUCAUUAUUCAUGUAUAAGUAUCCAAGAUCUACCGAGCGAAUAACCGAUGUGGAACUAAACAUACGUCCGUACGGAUCCUCAUAGCUAGAGAUAAUGAUCAUGUUGAUGAUAGCACCGACUAUUUUUUGAAGUUCAAGUAUCAUGCACAUAUUUAUGUUUUUGGAGUUUUUAAAAUUUUGGUGGAUAUUUAUAUUUGAUAUUAUGUACAUAUAAACCAUGCCGUUAUUGUUAUAUACGUUUUCCUAUAAGUUUAGUAUAUACAUAUUAUAUAUAAUAUGGCGAUGUUUUAAAGCGUAAAAAGUUAGACAAACUAAUGAUGCUUUCUUCCAUCAUCAUUUCAACCGCAGCGUAAAAGGCUUUUGGAAGCUUUCAGAAAGCGUCGUGAGCCCGCAACGCACCAAAAUAUUGUUCUUCAUGCUGUGCGGCAGCUUACAAAGCUUGUAUACCUUGCGUUGCUGUCGGCGGAGAAGAAGAUGAUGAGAUUUUCCAUGCUUGCAUUGCCGACAUCCAUACGAUGCUUUGGGAAACGUUGGCACGGAAAUUUGUAACGCACCUUCAUGCCGGCAAAAUGAUUUGCAAAACAUCACCUUUGACCCCUUUUCCUACUGUAGUGCACUGAAGACGGAACGGUAUCCCAUGGCAGGGAAAAGGAACAGUGACUUUAGGUGCUUUCUUCUUCUCUGGCUCUGCAUCAAUGGCUCAAUCCCCUGUCAACUGACCGUCCUAUGAUGCGAGCUUGAUUGGCCCACACACUAUUAGCCCGCAUGAGUCCACAAGGGCCAAUGCACAGGCUUGCUUGUAUCACCAUGGGUGAUUUCCAUGACCAUGGAAAACCUGUGCUUCUACCACUUGCAAGCGUCUUUAAUUUGGAAUUGUACUAUAACAACUGCUACAAAUUCCAUUUGUCGAUCUAAUACGAUAGUUAGGAAUGAAUGCAAUGCAUAGGGAUAGAUGGUAUCAGGUACAGUUCAGUCAUUCUUCCAGUGCCACAUUAAUAUUUAAUUGGAUUGCACCAAUAUCCACUUGCCGCAUCAGUUUGAGAACAAAUUUGAUAUAGUUUUUGGAGGUGCGUACAGCAACCCACCCAGCCAAAAAUUCUGGUACUGUCCUUCUGUCAAAACCUAUAGUAGAGCAGAGGGGCAUGGACCAGCCUGAGGAGCGUUCACGCCUGGAUCCUUUUCGGCGAGCUUGGCGUUGUAAGUUUUCAGCAUGCAGUGAUGAUGGUAAGAACUCCAUCAAAUCAAGUUGAAACUUUAAAGAAGGUGGAUGGCCAGUAGGUGACAGAUUGGUUAGAGACCCCAGUGACUGAUACCAACAUCAUCAUCACCAUGAAUGGCAGAGACUGCCACCCACCCCAGAAGCCAGUCUGAAUCUAUUCAUGAGGUAAUGGCGUAAAGGAUUUUUUUCCCCUUUUUUCCCCCUUGAGGACAAAAGAUAAUGUGGCAUAAAUUAAGGUAAUGUCAAUAUCUUUUUUUCAAAAAGAUAAUGACUUUUUCUCUCUUUUUUUUGGUGCGGGUACAGAAGCAGUUGGUCCCAACAACUACAGUCUAUAUAUGCAACCAAAAAAAAAAAAACAAGUGAAUCAAAGUGAAUAACUCGGACAAAUCCAGUGGGAAUCUAGACUCCCGUAUGAGAAUAUUUGUUGUACAUGUUUCAAAAUUGGCAGUCCAGUAGACUGCCAUAUCUUUUCAUGUAGAUGAUGUAAUACAUGGACCUCCUGAUAUUGUCCAAGGAAGCCUUAAUGUGUUGAAGACUGACCAUAUAUUCUUUCAUGAAGAGUAAACUAUACAUGCCCAAUUUGAUCACCAAAGAGAGAGAGAGAGAGAGAGAAGAAAGAAACAUGCCAAAGAAUCUUGAUCAGCAAAAAAGUGUAAUUCAACACCAUCUGCAUUUUCACAAACACAUUCAGCAACAAGCACUAUUUUUAGUAGUUAAUAAUUUAGUGUUUAUGAAAAUGGAAAUUGUUUUUUUUUUCUUGUUUGGUAAUAUAUAUGCAAAUGUUCUUGAAUCGCACUUCUUUUUUUUUUGUUGAUAAACAAGGUUCUUCAAACAAUCUCAUAAGUAUAACAUCUACUACUAGAUUCCGGCUGGUUUUUAAAUCCUCGUUCACCAAUAAUGCCUGUUGAGGGCUAACUUAUCAAAUUAGGAUUCAUUUCAUAGUUUGAUGUGCUUUUUUUCAACUAGUUGAACUAAUUCAGGCAUUACAUGGAGAAUGCCACCAUACCAAAAAAUAAAUAAUGAACAAAUAAAGGCCAUCCUCGUCUGCUGAACCUGAGUUAUAUGAGAUAAUUAGCAAGGUAACUUUGUAGCAUUAUCACAUGCAUGGUCACUUGCGCACCCAAAAAAAAACAAAAAAGGCACUGUGUAGCGCAUGCUGAAGGCUGUCGACCUUGGGGUUUUCUGAAGUAAUGAUGUGCUUAGAUCUUUGGCUGAUUAAACUCUAUGAUUUCAAGUUAGCUCAGAACCAAGCUUAUUGUGUAAUUCGAGUGGGAAAUCCAAACAUGAAAAGCCCAUGAUCAAUAGGGUGCUAUUCUUUUGAACUUACAGUCCAUUUUCCGAAUCAGACAGUAUAAUAUAUGCAGGUUAAUUGAGAGUUGAUGGGAUGAUUUUCUUGUUCCAAAGCAAAACUUACAACAAACCACACUUCUCCCUCAAGUUUAGAAGGAUUUGAUUUUUUUUUUGGUCUUUUCAAACUUCACAAACGCUUAUGAAGGGUCAGUUCCUUCGAUGAUUCGACACAUUCAAUUUGCCAACUUUGUCUUCCUAAGGUGAUUUCUAGGUUCGGUAGCUUAUGGAACAUGUUGGCAUCAGUCUGCAGAGAUGGCGAAAAGCUUGUCCUCAGGUUUGUUCCCCCUUGGCCUCCCCUUGGAGAUAGAUGGAGGGCUUCUCCUACCUCCACCACUGCCUAUUCAAACAGCACAAAAGAAAAAAAGGAAAAUACGAUCAGUCUAAUGCAUAACGUAAUUAAAACAGAAUGAAAUGAUGGAUAAUAAGGGAUUGAUCCAGUAAGUGCAUCAAGCAAUGUGGAUUUAAUUUCUAUGAAUUGUUAUGCUAAUGAAGUUUUCAAUGAAGCUUAUGAUCGAAUUUUGUUCAAAUUGCAUUUACACAUAAUCCAUUUUAUAUUUAGAACAAAAAAAAUUCAUGCAAGGAUACAUAAUUUAUAUGUGUGAAUUUUUUUGACAUUUAUUUUUUAGUUGCUGCAAAAUGUUUGGUCUCUCCUUCCUGGAGGGUUAUUGUUUCUUGUUUACAUUUCGUAAAUAGAAACAGGAAGAAAAAAAGUACAUAAUUCAUUAAUUUAUGUGCGUCCCAUCCAAGUCAGAACAGUAAUAUUGAAUUUAUUCUGGGGUUGAGGACCAGGCAUUUACUGUUGCAGAAUGACAUUACCAAAAGUUGGGUCCCCAUGUUAUAUUGCACACAUGAGAAUAAAAAUUUCUAUAGACCGCAGGCAACAUGCACAGGGAAAUGAGACACUUGAAUGUUAUAUCUUUCAUGAGCAAACUAGAUCAAGAUGUCCUUGAGGGACAAAGUUGAUACCUGCACAGAAAUUAACUUCUGUGCGUACUCCCUGGUGAUAGCAUUAUCCAAGUGAUUGAAAAAUUAUUGGAGCCAAUUUCUCUCGACUAAACAAAAGGUAGCACCUAAAAUUGAAAAAUGGAAAAUUUUAUGGUAGACAUAUACCUGAUUUUCUUUGUUUAAAAAAUUAUCACAUUUGAGGUAGCAGUGUGACAUCUCAUUUUGCUGCAUCGCUGCAUUCCAAGUGUUCUCCUCCGUGGAUGCAUAUGGUCCUCUGGAAAUAAAACGGAGCUUGGUGUUAGCUAGGGAGUUAAGACUAGAAAAGUUUUCUUUCAGAGGCUCUUAUAGAUUACAGAUGCAUGUGGUGCUCAAUGCUCAUAGCCUGUGGAGUGUGGACUAAAACAAGUUGUUGCAUCUGAGUAUAUCCAAUAGAUUAAUAAGAUAGAAUUAAAAGGGUUAGGAAAUUCACAAAGACAAAAAUAGGGAGGGAUCAUCAGUCUAAAGAGACAUCAAUGACUGCAGUGUGUGUGCAUAUUCUGGGUAUUGCUUAAGCUUGAAGACAUUAGGGACAGUUUCAUUUUGUAUGUUCCCUGUCUUCUCUGAAUGUUUGCAGUUGAUAGCCAUCAUGGUGCAAUCCAAAUGGGACACGGACAAACUGCCAACCCAUCGACAACUUUUUAAUGAGAAUUAAAUCCCUCCAGCCAUCAUUAUUCCUGUUGGGCUUCUCGGAUAAGUUAAAAUUAUGUUCAUGUCCUUCAUGUCCUAGGUUCUAUCUUCAUUUGGCCCAGGAGCACAAAUAUAAAGCGUAACAUGAAUUUUUAACGUUCUGGUCACAAUACAUGCACAGAGAGAAAAAGAGUUCUCCAUGCACUGGAACCGUAUUCUACAACCACUAGUGCAGCAGAAAUACCAAUGGCUAAUACAUAUUGCUAACAGCUCCACAUUGAGAGCAACAAUAUUUUGGCAAAGAAGAAUAUAUUCCAGUUUAAUCUUCGAAGGUUUCAGAACAGAAAUUACACUUUUUAUUCAGCUGAUAUAUAAAGUAAUAUGAUAUACGGACAACGAGCAUGUUUGUUUCUCCAAUAAUAUGACUUACUUAUUAUCCCAUGCUACUAUUUAUACUUGUUUUCUUGACUCAAACAAAUAAAAAGCAGUAUAAAAUCAUAGAAUAUGUCAUAUAUGAACGCUAAUAAAAUUAACGACCAUGAAGACUCCCAUUCAACUUUUCUUUCUAGAAUAAUAAGCAUAAGAAUCUAAAUUGUAUCUCAUUAAGAACAAAUAUUAACUUUUAAUGAAGACCCCGAGACCAUUCCAUGAUCUUGAUGGUAAGUGAUAACCUGCAGAUUUAGAUGUUUAAUUUGCGGCAUUUUGGUAUAUGUAAAUCCUCGUAGCAUAGUAAGAGAAGAAUCCUGUUUUGCCUCCUCUAAAUCUUCUGGAAACUUCUUGAAAAACAUUUUACCCUCCAUUUGUAAGGUGAUCCCUUCACUCUCAUGGAACAUGCUAUGUGUGAGAAUAUUUUCUUAAUAACAGAUAUCUCACUUUUUUCUUAAGAUAUUAAAAAAAAAACUCUUGAUGUUUGUAGACUGACUUAGAUCAUAUUUAUAUUCCAAGACAUUAAAUAGCAAGCAGUUAGCAGAUGAUGAAGAACAUGUAAUCCUUUUAUUCCUUCAACCAUAUUCUCUGCCUAAGGUUAUGACAAAGCUGGAUUACCAGUCAAAUCUCACAACAGGAAUUAACUAUGUUGGUCAAAUUUCUCAAAAUAAUCUUAAAUACCUCUCACAAAGCAGUUCCCUUUCAGAACCAUUUGUGAGAGUGACAGAUACCAUUCUUAAUAAACAUCUAUAAAUAUUUAAAAGCGAUCUCUACGGCUGCAAGACUAAACACCAGAUGGAGAUCAAAUAAAGAAACACAUGCAACCCUUCUCUUAUCUUAUUUAACCAUCCCAAUCUCAAUAUAUUGGCCACCUGGGCCCCUAGUCUAUAUAUCUGACCAAAGCCAUUAACAGUGGAAGUCAAAUUCCAGAACUUGCAAUUAUUAAAUGGUCUCUACCCCAGGCCAACUGAUAGAACCAACCAAAUACAACCAAAAACCUAGAUAAAUAAUCUAAAACUCACAUCCACACUGCGUUCAUCAGCGCCGGUGCUUAAAAAAAAAAGACUAUCUUAACGUAUAGCCACCACCAUGCUAACUAAACUAAUUAACCAAAAUAUUCCAUAGAAAUGGCAUAUGGAUUGAGCAUUCCCACAUGGAAGACCGCAUGUAUGAAUGCUGAUCGAAUGGCUGUGAUUCGAUGCCUCAUGUGGUGACUAUUGGUGCCUGCCCAGCCCAUGUUGUACCAUUUUCUUUUUUUUCUUUGUUAACUUUUAUGAAUUUCUUUUGAUAGAGGUUGUUGUAGGGGAGAAGGAGAGGAAGUGGACAGACCUAGGGGAUUUGGGUAGUGGCGUUGGUGGGGUUGGUGCACUGAGGGAAUAGAAAGGGCUGAUCCCAGCUCUGUCGCAUGAUAGUCCUCCCUCCACUUCCCCCAUUCCUCCUGUCCUCUGGUUCAUGCCCAUGUCUGUCUGGCCUCGGCCUGCAAACAAUUCAUCCACCACUAAGAUCCAAAUGGCCGUGCUUUAUGGGACAACAAACUAAUAAUUCAAGCAAGGAAAGGCCAGCCCAAUCCCAGCUUCUGAUGGCAGUGAGGUGACUGGGUGAUGGCAUCUGCCCUCCUUAGACUACCAAAGAACAAAUGGCAUGUAAAGGGACUAUUUGAGGGAGGGAAAAUCCAAAUACCUGCCCCUCUGUCGGUGCUCUUCACUGUUCUAUACAUCUGCAACAACACCCGCAGGAAAGUCAUUAAACAUAAUAAAGCAAAGAAAGAAAAGGAUCGAAGAGAAAAAUCCACUAUGCUCAGAUUACUCCAUAGAUGCCAUGAUGUCCUUAGUACUUGUAUGCUGCAGCACCCCAUCACAAAACCCUAACCCUAGCUAGCUAGCAGGAAAGUGCUCAUAAUAACAACAGCGGCAGCAACAAUGGAGAAAAGCAUCACGCACAAUUUUGGUUACUUCUUAUCUCAGAAAAGAGGUCCCUUUUCCUUUCUCUUCCUACCUGAAGGUGGCUUUUCACAUGAGCCAGUGUUAAAUCCUUCACAUUCAUCAGCUCCAAAACCGACUUUGGCGUGGCCCCUACCCACAUGGAUUUAUAGAAUUAUCUCAGUGUGAGAAGCAAUCAUGAUGAGAAAAUCGUAGUUAUAUAACACUUAGAACGUCUAAUGAUACAAAGACAGGAAGGUACGAGGAAGCUUCUAAGGGAGAGACAUGCUUACUCUCAUGACCACCAAGGAGCUCGACGGCGUGCACAAAAUGGGAGUGGAGGGUGCUGGUCCACCUCAUCCUUGGAGCCCUAAUGCUUCUCUUUCCUCCAUGAAGUUUCCGCUUGAAUCCGUAGAUCUGAGGAUGGUGGGAGUGAUGGUGGUGGUGGUGGUGAAGGUUGUGGUAGAGUUGGUGGUGCAGCGGAUCCGACGCAGCCGUCUUGAACCCAAGGCUCAGCGUUGGCUCGCCAUGGCCAGGAUCCUGGACCCCCUCUGAGUGCAAGAAACCUUGGUCAUGACUCAUAUCGCUCCCGCUGCUCCCGGAGUCUGACAUCGAAUUAUAGUCCCAGAAGAAAGCCCUCCUCAUGGAUUCAUUAAUGGAUAUCGCCGGCGGGCUGAUCUGGAGGGAAAGAUCGGGGAAGGCCGUGAAGCCGGAGGCCGUUGAUGUGGUUCCUGUUGUCAUUUAUCUAAGCUCAAGGAAAAAGCAAACAAAUGGGGGAGGCCAAGGUAAAGUCCGUGCAAGAAGGUAUCCGAGAGAAUGGAGGUUUGGUGAAGGGGGUAUGGCAAAAGUAGAAGGGUUGGGAGAGCAGGAAAAAGGAAAGGAAAUAGUGGAGUGAAACAGUGAGAGAAAGAGAAAGGUGGUGGGAAAGGAAGGGAACUCAUGAAAAGGAAAGCGGGUGGGGGAUUGGGUAAAUAGAUGUGUUAGUGAUUAGAUCAUAAGUGCCUUAUGAUUUCUAUAGUUUAGAGAGUAUGAAAGAGGCUAUAGAGAGAAGGAGAGAGAAAGAGAAAAGGUUCAGUAGUAGUGAUGAGCUAAUAGCAAGGGUAUAGGGUCUCUAGGCUAAUUUAUACUGCCACAAAAGGGCAGUGAGAUGUGAGGGAAUUGCAAGGCCUCCAAGAUGGAAAGAACUGGACAGAGACUGAUAGAAAAGGAGAGGGUACAUAUACNNNNNNNNNNNNNNNNNUACAUAUACUUUUUUUUUUGCGCUAAGGAUGUACAUAUACUCCUUUCAAGUAAUUAAUCCAUCCGUCCUAUAAAAAAUUAAAAGAGAGAGAGAGAGAGAGGAGUCUAUUUUGAGAAAGCAGAAGUAUAAUACCUAGAGAAUGAGAAUGGGGGAUACUUUUCCCCCUUUAUGUGAAAUGGGAGCGAAGGUCUUGGAAUGUGAGAAAUUUCAGAAAAAACUAGAAGAUUGGGACCUAAUUUCCCCACUACGACUGUAGGUGCGCCUGAAUGAGAAUCGGAUGCGAGAAUAGAGAAACGACCAUGGGAAACGCUUGCUUGUAUGAAUUGCAAGGGAACUGGUUUGAGCCAUGAGGCUUGUGCUUGGGUGAACUAUUAAGGCAUAAGAUAAUGAGAUAGGAACUGUAGCAAUUGUAAUGGUCCCCUCUUAUACGCCAAACUGCAUUUAGUGGAAGAAAUCAUGAACUUUGACUGAAAUCUAUU
rnacentral:lncRNA from 1 species